CGUGCAAUUCGAUGUUGUCUGAAAUUGAUUAUCUUACUUUUUUUGUUGGUUAAAGUUUUUGUUGACAAAGUAUUGUCUUGUUGUUGUAUAUCGUUAAUGAUUUAAUUGUUUUUGUUAUAGUUUAUUUGUACUGUGUAGGGUUGGAAGCAUGAGUUUAUAUUUAUGUAAGUUGAUUUUUUUUAUUGUACCUUGUGUAUCAGGGUUCAUUAAUUUUUAUUAUGUAUUUUUUGUUUCCCGGUUUUGAAGGAGUUAAUAAUUUAUUUUAGUUACUGUUUCAUCAGUAUUAACAAUAUUUUAUUAGUGAUGAAAUGUCACUCGUUUUCAUAGGUAUCUGGUUUCCUAGGAAAUAGAUUGAAUUUACACUUUUUAUGUUUAGUUUUCUCUUUUUUUUGUGAGGUUUUAUGUGAAGUGAGGAUUUUGGGGGAUGAGCUCCAAUUUUUAUUUUUAUAAUUUUCUUUGAUUGUUAUUUGUGUGGGCUUUAUAAUGGCUAUCAAUAUGAGUAUGUUAAAAUUUUACUUUUUUCUUCUUUUAUUUGUUUUUUAUUUAAUUUUUUAUUAGGAUGUUUAGUUUAAUUUUUAUGUCUAUUGUAAUUUUGAUGGAAUUAGUAUAUUUUUGUGAUGAUAAGUUUUAUUUAAUGUUAUAUUUUUGAGAGGAACUAGGCAAAUAAUUAUGCUCGCUUGUUUAACAAAAACAUCUUCUCUUGUGAGAUUUUAUGAGAUACGGCCUGCCCGCUGAUUGUUGUUGAAGGGCCGCGGUAUUUUGACCGUGCAAAGGUAGCAUAAUCAUUAGUUCUUUAAUUGUGAACUGGUAUGAAUGGUUUGACGAAGUGUAGACUGUCUUUCAUUAAUUAUUGUUUGAAUUUGGUGCUUGAGUAAGAAUACUUAAAUUUUUUUAUGGGACGAGAAGACCCUAUAGAGUUUCACAUAGAAUAUUUCCUUUUUGUUUGUGUUUUUUAUUGAUUUUUUCUAUGUUUUGUUGGGGUGAUGAGAAGGUAUUGGGAACUCUUCUUUUAUUUUGGUACACUCAUUUGUGUUUUAUUGAUCCUUUAUUAUUGAUUAUAAGAUAAAAUUACCUUAGGGAUAACAGCGUAAUCUUUUUUGAGAGUUCUUAUCGACAAAAGGGUUUGCGACCUCGAUGUUGGAUUAAGGUGAAUUUUUGGCGUAGAGGCUGAAUGUAUAAGAUUAGGUCUGUUCGACCUUUAAAACCUUACAUGAUCUGAGUUCAAACCGGCGUGAGCCAGGUUGGUUUCUAUCUAUAAUUUAUUUAAUUCUUUAGUACGAGAGGACCAGGAAUUUUGAAUAAUUUGUUUUGUGUUGAUUUUUAUUAACUUGCUAAUUUGGCAGAUAAGUGCAGUGGAUUUAGAAUCUAUUUA
rnacentral:rRNA from 1 species